rnacentral:rRNA from 1 species
CUCGUAGGCGGUUCGUCGCGUCCGGUGUGAAAGUCCAUCGCUUAACGGUGGAUCUGCGCCGGGUACGGGCGGGCUGGAGUGCGGUAGGGGAGACUGGAAUUCCCGGUGUAACGGUGGAAUGUGUAUAUAUCGGGAAGAACACCAAUGGCGAAGGCAGGUCUCUGGGCCGUUACUGACGCUGAGGAGCGAAAGCGUGGGGAGCGAACA